GACGUAGGGCGCAAGCGUUGUCCGGAUUUAUUGGGCGUAAAGAGCUCGUAGGCGGCUUGUCGCGUCGACUGUGAAAACCCGUGGCUCAACCAUGUGGUCUGCAGUCGAUACGGGCAGGCUAGAGUUCGGCAGGGGAGACUGGAAUUCCUGGUGUAGCGGUGAAAUGCGCAGAUAUCAGGAGGAACACCGGUGGCGAAGGCGGGUCUCUGGGCCGAUACUGACGCUGAGGAGCGAAAGCGUGGGGAGCGAACAGG
rnacentral:rRNA from 1 species